rnacentral:lncRNA from 1 species
AGACUGCUGCCCACAGCCCACGGGAACGGAGCCUGAGAGGCACACGCGUGUGUGGCACCUGCACAGGGCCCCGCGCAGAGCAGGUGCCCCAGACGUGCCAGCCGCGAGCCACGGGGGUGGGGCAGCAGGCACCCAUGCUGUCCACUGGCGCCCACAUUCCGCGGGAAGGUGGUAGUCUGGCCAGAGCUCUACUCUCAUUAGGAAGCAGCAGGGAAACUGAACUCUGGGAAGAGACAAAGCAAAGUGGAGCACAUGCACACAAAUCUGUCAAGAAUCAGAAGCCUUGGGGCUGCAGCGGGCAGACCUCCCAGUGCUGUGGAGACACUGGUCCAGGCCCAAGAAGCCCAGGCUUGGU